AUUGAACGCUGGCGGCAGGCCUAACACAUGCAAGUCGAACGAGUGGCGGACGGGGGAGUAAUGUCUGGGAAACUGCCUGAUGGAGGGGGUUAACUACUGGAAACGGUAGCUAAUACCGCCUACCAUCGGAUGUGCCCGGAUGGGAUUAGCUAGUAGGUGGGGUAACGGCUCACUUAGGCGACGAUCCCUAGCUGGUCUGAGAGGAUGACCGGCCACACUGGAACUGAGACACGGUGCAGACUCCUACGGGCGGAAGCAGUGGGGAAGAUUGCACAAUGGGCGAAAGGCUGAUGCAGCCAUGCCGCGUGUGUGAAGAAGGCCUUCGGGUUGUAAAGUACUUUCAGCGGGGAGGCGUUACCCGCAGAAGAAGCACCGGCUAACUCCGUGCCAGCAGCCGCGGUAAUUC
rnacentral:rRNA from 1 species